ACCCUCCAAUCUCCUCCCCCAUCAGAUCUAAACCCAGGUCUGAGUGGGUUACAAAAGGGAGGGAAAGUAACAUUGAAACUGACUUCAGUGCUUUUGUAGCACAUGGGCUAGUUUUAGUUUUUU
rnacentral:snoRNA from 1 species